rnacentral:rRNA from 1 species
UGGGGAAUAUUGGACAAUGGGCGAAAGCCUGAUCCAGCAAUGCCGCGUGAGUGAUGAAGGCCUUAGGGUUGUAAAGCUCUUUUACCCGGGAUGAUAAUGACAGUACCGGGAGAAUAAGCUCCGGCUAACUCCGUGCCAGCAGCCGCGGUAAUACGGAGGGAGCUAGCGUUGUUCGGAAUUACUGGGCGUAAAGCGCACGUAGGCGGCUUUGUAAGUUAGAGGUGAAAGCCUGGAGCUCAACUCCAGAACUGCCUUUAAGACUGCAUCGCUCGAAUCCAGGAGAGGUGAGUGGAAUUCCGAGUGUAGAGGUGAAAUUCGUAGAUAUUCGGAAGAACACCAGUGGCGAAGGCGGCUCACUGGACUGGUAUUGACGCUGAGGUGCGAAAGCGUGGGGAGCAAAACAGGAUUAGAUACCCUGGUAGUCCACGCCGUAAACGAUGAUAACUAGCUGUCCGGGAACUUGGUUUUUGGGUGGCGCAGCUAACGCAUUAAGUUAUCCGCCUGGGGAGUACGGCCGCAAGGUUAAAACUCAAAGGAAUUGACGGGGUCAUAGCUGUUUCCU